rnacentral:rRNA from 1 species
GUCGAGCGGUAGAGAGGUGCUUGCACCUCUUGAGAGCGGCGGACGGCUGAGUAAAGCCUAGGAAUCUGCCUGGUAGUGGGGGAUAACGCUCGGAAACGGACGCUAAUACCGCAUACGUCCUACGGGAGAAAGCAGGGGACCUUCGGGCCUUGCGCUAUCAGAUGAGCCUAGGUCGGAUUAGCUAGUUGGUGAGGUAAUGGCUCACCAAGGCGACGAUCCGUAACUGGUCUGAGAGGAUGAUCAGUCACACUGGAACUGAGACACGGUCCAGACUCCUACGGGAGGCAGCAGUGGGGAAUAUUGGACAAUGGGCGAAAGCCUGAUCCAGCCAUGCCGCGUGUGUGAAGAAGGUCUUCGGAUUGUAAAGCACUUUAAGUUGGGAGGAAGGGCAUUAACCUAAUACGUUAGUGUUUUGACGUUACCGACAGAAUAAGCACCGGCUAACUCUGUGCCAGCAGCCGCGGUAAUACAGAGGGUGCAAGCGUUAAUCGGAAUUACUGGGCGUAAAGCGCGCGUAGGUGGUUCGUUAAGUUGGAUGUGAAAUCCCCGGGCUCAACCUGGGAACUGCAUUCAAAACUGUCGAGCUAGAGUAUGGUAGAGGGUGGUGGAAUUUCCUGUGUAGCGGUGAAAUGCGUAGAUAUAGGAAGGA